CAUUCCAGCAUGGGCGACAGAACGAGACCCUGUCUCAAAAAGAAAACAAAAAAUAAUUGCAUUUGCUAUCCCAGAACUCACUCACACACUGAAUCCCUCGGGGUUUUGGAAACAACCAGGUCUUGUCCCGAAGGCAGCCUGUAGGUGGAGCUAGAGAAUGUCACCUGGGCUUCCCCGUGGGCGAGGAGCACGGGGCCAGGAGGAUCUGUUGAAAGGAGCAUUUGGAGGGCGGUGCCAAUGGGCAAGAGGUAUGCACAGAGAGCCACGGGAGUGGGCAGGGCCAGUUCAGGAAGGAAUCCCAGAGGCUUUUUGUCCCAAAGCCUACGCAUUCGUGCUGCUCUGACUUAAUGCAGUGCUCAGCUGUGCUGCAGAGUAACGACAAAGGCUGGGAGGAGAGGAAGUGGCUCACAGGCAGCUGAAGGUGUCAUUUUAAACAACGUGCUCUAAGUUAGCCUCAGAUGAGACUCUAGGAGAAGGCAUGGUGUUUCUUCUUGAUUGUCACUGUAUCCCAGGGGUACACGCACCCCAACCAGAGGCUUUGGAGGGUGUGCUUCCUGCCACCCUCAAGGGAGUUGUCUCUGUCAAGCUAACGGAUCCCGAGUUCCGGGGUGCCAGGCCGUAGUCUGCUUCAUUUUUAUCUGCACAAUAACCCGUGAGCCCAUACCAUCACCCCAUUUCACAGCUGAAGAAAUGGAUGCCCAGACAGGAUAAGUAGUUUGUACUAGAGGAUAACUACCUGGCUAACAAACCAACUAGUUAACUGGUUGGCCAGGAUUCAAAAUCUGACCCGCUUCAGAAUCGGGACUCGGACCACAGCGUGGCUUCAGAGAGCUCCUUCACCUGUGCUGGGCGUGCGUUGCCGUCGGGGAUGCGGCGGUGGUUAGCACACGUUCUCUUCACUCCCUGAACACAGAGGCUAGAGAACAGACCUGCAGACACACAGUGCCAGUGCUUGGCAGACACAAUCCUGGACGUCUGUGCUGUUAGGAACCGUCUGACGGGCGCCAGCAUCAGGCCUCGCUGCACACGGGCCUUGGAGCAAGCACAGCACCUGCUCAACAGCCAGCUCUGAGCACGGACCCUGCUUCCACCCUUCAGACAAACCAGCCACCAAGAGGCAUUUCUGGUCAUCAUCGAGCAUGACUCACCUUCAGCACCGGCUGAGCGAGGCCCAGAAGAUGACCAACUCCGUGGGGACCUGAGGUUGAUGUUGGACCGUAUUUACAUUCAGUGUUUGGGGCUGACCGGGAAGAAAUCUGAAAGUGGAAGAGAAGGGAAGGCACCGGUAACCUCGUCUUCCCAAGAGGAGGUCAGAGGGCAGUUCAGACAUUGAAGGAAGAGACAAAGAGCCUUGAAUGUCACGAAAAGGAGGUUGGACUUUAUCCUGCAGGCAAUCAGAAGCCAGAAAGGUUUCAGGAUGGAUGGGCUGAUCAGAUUUGAGUUUCAACAGGCCACUGUGCUGCUACAGACACCCAGACACCGGAGCUCCAGCCGGGGCAGGCUGCAGGAUGCCCAGCCGUGUCCCCAGGAUGCCCUGCACGCUGUCCUGAAAACUAACCUGUAACUGCAGCUCUUGGAGCCUUCCGGAACCCAGAUCCCCACCUGAGAUCAAACCAAAGACCUGGUUUAAGGUCCCUGGUUUGGCUUGUUGCCACCCAACGCUGCCCCAGUU
rnacentral:lncRNA from 1 species